UACGUAGGGGGCUAGCGUUGUUCGGAAUUACUGGGCGUAAAGCGCGCGUAGGCGGACCUGCAAGUCGGGGGUGAAAGCCCGAGGCUCAACCUCGGAACUGCCUUCGAUACUGCGGGUCUCGAGUCCGGGAGAGGUGAGUGGAAUUCCUAGUGUAGAGGUGAAAUUCGUAGAUAUUCGGAAGAACACCAGUGGCGAAGGCGACUAACUGGACAUGUAUUGACGCUGAGGUGCGAAAGCGUGGGGAGCAAACAGG
rnacentral:rRNA from 1 species